AUCUCACAGAGACAACUGGUGCUCACACCACA
rnacentral:piRNA from 1 species